rnacentral:rRNA from 1 species
GGGAUCCUACGGGGCGCAGCAGUGAGGAAUAUUGGUCAAUGGGCGAGAGCCUGAACCAGCCACGUCGCGUGAGGGAAGACGGUCCUAUGGAUUGUAAACCUCUUUUGCCGGGGAGCAAAAAGCGGUACGUGUACCGCAUCGAGAGUACCCGGAGAAAAAGCAUCGGCUAACUCCGUGCCAGCAGCCGCGGUAAUACGGAGGAUGCGAGCGUUAUCCGGAUUUAUUGGGUUUAAAGGGUGCGCAGGCGGCACGGCAAGCCGGCGGUCAAAUCGCGGGGCUCAACCCCGCCCAGCCGUC